GAUGAACGCUGGCGGCGUGCUUAACACAUGCAAGUCGAACGAAGCACUUUAUUUGAUUUCCUUCGGGACUGAUUAUUUUGUGACUGAGUGGCGGACGGGUGAGUAACGCGUGGGUAACCUGCCUUGUACAGGGGGAUAACAGUUGGAAACGGCUGCUAAUACCGCAUAAGCGCACGGCAUCGCAUGAUGCAGUGUGAAAAACUCCGGUGGUAUAAGAUGGACCCGCGUUGGAUUAGCUAGUUGGUGAGGUAACGGCCCACCAAGGCGACGAUCCAUAGCCGACCUGAGAGGGUGACCGGCCACAUUGGGACUGAGACACGGCCCAGACUCCUACGGGAGGCAGCAGUGGGGAAUAUUGCACAAUGGGCGAAAGCCUGAUGCAGCGACGCCGCGUGAGCGAAGAAGUAUUUCGGUAUGUAAAGCUCUAUCAGCAGGGAAGAUAAUGACGGUACCUGACUAAGAAGCACCGGCUAAAUACGU
rnacentral:rRNA from 1 species